GCUUAGAAGCAGCCACUCAUUAAAAGAGUGCGUAAUAGCUCACUGGUCGAGUGACUCUGCGCGGAAAAUGUAACGGGGCUAAGCAUGCAACCGAAGCUUAGGAUUGUCGAAAGACAGUGGUAGGGGAGCGUUCUGUAAGCCUGCGAAGGUGACUCGUAAGGGUUGCUGGAGGUAUCAGAAGUGCGAAUGCUGACAUGAGUAACGUUAAAGCGGGUGAAAAGCCCGCUCGCCGUAAGCCCAAGGUUUCCUGCUCUACGUUCAUCGGAGCAGGGUGAGUCGGCCCCUAAGGCCAGGCUGAGAAGCGUAGUCGAUGGGAAGCUGAUUAAUAUUUCAGCACCACUGUUGAGUGCGAAGGGGGGACGGAGUUUUGCAAGUAAUCCGGGUGUUGGAUGUCCCGGUUGGCGAGCGUAGGAGGUGAGCAGGCAAAUCCGCUCACGCAUCUCCGAGACGAAGCCUCGAGGUCCUUUAGGACUGAAGUUACCGAAUGAACUUCCAGGAAAAGCCUCUAAGCUCCAGCUCAACGGUGACCGUACCGUAAACCGACACAGGUGGGCGAGUUGAAUAUACUCAGGCGCUUGAGAGAACUCGGGAGAAGGAACUCGGCAAAUUGACACCGUAACUUCGGGAUAAGGUGUGCCUUGGUAGCGUGAAAGGAGAAACUCCCCAAGCGCGAAGAGGUCACAGAAAAUAGGGGGCUGCGACUGUUUACUAAAAACACAGCACUCUGCAAAGACGAAAGUCGACGUAUAGGGUGUGAUGCCUGCCCGGUGCCGGAAGAUUAAGUGAUGGGGUGAGAGCUCCUGAUCGAAGUCCCGGUAAACGGCGGCCGUAACUAUAACGGUCCUAAGGUAGCGAAAUUCCUUGUCGGGUAAGUUCCGACCUGCACGAAUGGCAUAACGAUGGCCCCACUGUCUCCUCCCGAGACUCAGUGAAGUUGAAAUGUUUGUGAUGAUGCAAUCUCCCCGCGGCUAGACGGAAAGACCCCAUGAACCUUUACUGCAGCUUUGCAUUGGACUUUGAACCGAUCUGUGUAGGAUAGGCGGGAGGCAAUGAAACUUUGACGCCAGUCAGAGUGGAGCCGACGUUGAAAUACCGCCCUGAUUUGUUUGAGGUUCUAACCGCAGACAGUGAGCCUGUCUCGGGACCGUGCAUGGUAGGCAGUUUGACUGGGGCGGUCUCCUCCUAAAGGGUAACGGAGGAGUACAAAGGUACGCUAGGUACGGUCGGAAAUCGUGCUGAUAGUGCAAUGGCGCAAGCGUGCUUGACUGCGAGACCGACAAGUCGAGCAGAUGCGAAAGCAGGUCAUAGUGAUCCGGUGGCACUGAAUGGAAGGGCCAUCGCUCAACGGAUAAAAGGUACUCUGGGGAUAACAGGCUGAUACCGCCCAAGAGUUCAUAUCGACGGCGGUGUUUGGCACCUCGAUGUCGGCUCAUCUCAUCCUGGGGCUGUAGCCGGUCCCAAGGGUAUGGCUGUUCGCCAUUUAAAGAGGUACGUGAGCUGGGUUUAAAACGUCGUGAGACAGUUUGGUCCCUAUCUGCCGUGGGCGUUGGAAGAUUGACGGGGGCUGCUCCUAGUACGAGAGGACCGGAGUGGACGCACCUCUGGUGUACCGGUUGUCACGCCAGUGGCAUCGCCGGGUAGCUAUGUGCGGAAAAGAUAACCGCUGAAAGCAUCUAAGCGGGAAACUUGCCUGAAGAUAAGUCUUCCCUGGGGUUUAACCCCACUGAAGGGUCGUUUGAGACGAAGACGUUGAUAGGUCGGGAGUGGAAGAGUUGUGAGACUUGGAGCGGACCGAUACUAAUUGCCCGUGAGGCUUGAUCCU
rnacentral:rRNA from 1 species